rnacentral:rRNA from 1 species
GAUGAACGCUGGCGGCGUGCCUAACACAUGCAAGUCGAGCGAUCUUCUUCGGAAGAGAGCGGCGGACGGGUGAGUAACGCGUGGGUAACCUGCCCUGUACACACGGAUAACAUACCGAAGGGUAUGCUAAUACGAGAUAAUAUGCUUUUAUCGCAUGGUAGAAGGAUCAAAGCUCCGGCGGUACAAGAUUGACCCGCGUCUGAUUAGCUGGUUGGUAAGGUAACGGCUUACCAAGGCGACGAUCAGUAGCCGACCUGAGAGGGUGAUCGGCCACAUUGGAACUGAGACACGGUCCAAACUCCUACGGGAGGCAGCAGUGGGGAAUAUUGCACAAUGGGCGAAAGCCUGAUGCAGCAACGCCGCGUGAGCGAUGAAGGCCUUCGGGUCGUAAAGCUCUGUCCUCAAGGAAGAUAAUGACGGUACUUGAGGAGGAAGCCCCGGCUAACUACGUGCCAGCAGCCGCGGUAA